rnacentral:pre_miRNA from 12 species
CUUUCUACACAGGUUGGGAUCGGUUGCAAUGCUGUGUUUCUGUAUGGUAUUGCACUUGUCCCGGCCUGUUGAGUUUGG